rnacentral:rRNA from 1 species
AACGAACGCUGGCGGCAGGCCUAACACAUGCAAGUCGAACGCCGUAGCAAUACGGAGUGGCAGACGGGUGAGUAACACGUGGGAACGUACCCUUCGGUUCGGAAUAACUCAGGGAAACUUGAGCUAAUACCGGAUACGUCCGAGAGGAGAAAGAUUUAUCGCCGAGGGAUCGGCCCGCGUCUGAUUAGCUUGUUGGUGAGGUAACGGCUCACCAAGGCGACGAUCAGUAGCUGGUCGAGAGGAUGAUCAGCCACAUUGGGACUGAGACACGGCCCAAACUCCUACGGGAGGCAGCAGUGGGGAAUAUUGGACAAUGGGCGCAAGCCUGAUCCAGCCAUGCCGCGUGAGUGAUGAAGGCCCUAGGGUUGUAAAGCUCUUUAGUCCACGAAUAUAAUGACUGUAGUGGAAGAAUAAGCCCCGGCUAACUUCGUGCCAGCCGCCGCAGUAAU